GAUCCUGGCUCAGGAUGAACGCUAGCGGCAGGCCUAACACAUGCAAGUCGGAGGGGCAGCACGGUGUAGCAAUACACUGGUGGCGACCGGCGCACGGGUGCGUAACGCGUAUGCAACCUACCCAUAACAGGGGGGAUAACACUGAGAAAUUGGUACUAAUACCCCAUAACAUCAGGACCGGCAUCGGUUCUGGUUGAAAACUCCGGUGGUUUAAUGGAUGGGCAUGGCGUUGUAUUAGCUGGUUGG
rnacentral:rRNA from 1 species